AGCUGGUGUAGUGAGCCUGGCUUGGUUGUCAAAUAAAAGCUUCCGUAGACUCAAGUUCUCUGGGUGAAGCACUCAGGUUCCCAGGGCCUGACUACUUGUGGAAAAGGUCUGUAGCUCAAGGGGGCCCACAGUUCAUCACAAUUUCUCCCUUCCUCCAAAACAAUGACCAUUAAAAUCCCAUGAAACUCAAUGGGGGCGUUAAAUUUGGCAGCCCUAGAAAGUUGUCAGGCCACCCCUGCAUGAAGGCUGCCCCAGGAGAGCAGGGUGAGGCUGCAGAGGCCUAGCGCACAAAAAGCAGGAGGCCUUUUGUGGGCUCCCCAAGGCCUGUGUGUGCUUCAGAAGCAACUGGCAGGAGGUUCUUUGCAAUCAAGGAUUCUUGCCCUUAGCAAGCCAGGGUGUGUUGUGUGUGUGUUUGUGUGUGUGUGUAGGUGCGCACGUGCACACGUGUGUAUUGAAACCAAACUCUAGCUUAUGUGUCCAUAGUGGAAUUUGAAAAUGGAAGCCUAAAGUUGAAAAUUAAAAUUAUCCAUGAA
ensembl:lncRNA novel transcript